rnacentral:rRNA from 1 species
GUCUUUUUGAGAUAAUUUAAAGUCCAAUCUGCUCACUGAAGAUUUAAAGAGCCGCAGUAUAUUGACUGUGCAAAGGUAGCAUAAUCAAUAGUUUUUUAAUUGAGAACUUGUAUGAAAGAUUAGACGAGAAUUAUAUUUUCUUUGUUUUAAUAAAUUUAAUUUUAAUUUUAAGUGAAAAUGCUUAAAUUUUUUUAAAAGACGAGAAGACCCUAUAGAUUUUUAUUAUUAAAAGUUAAAUUUAGAUUUUUAUUUAGUUUAAAUAAUUUAAUUGGGGCGAUUUUAUAAAAUAAAAAACUUAAAUUUUUAUUACCAUAGAUGAUUGAAUUUUUUGAUCUAAAAAUUUUAAAGAAAAGAUUAAAUUACCUUAGGGAUAACAGCGUAAUUUUAUUUAAGAGUUCAUAUCUAUAAUAAAGUUUGCGACCUCGAUGUUGAAUUAAGAUAAUAUAUUGGAGUAGAAAUUAAUAUAAUUAGUCUGUUCGACUAUUAAAUUCU